rnacentral:tRNA from 2 species
GGGCCCGUCGUCUAGCCUGGUUAGGACGCCGCCCUUACAAGGCGGAGGCCCUGGGUUCGAUUCCCAGCGGGCCCA